UACGUAGGGUGCAAGCGUUGUCCGGAAUUAUUGGGCGUAAAGAGCUCGUAGGCGGUUAGUCGCGUCUGCUGUGAAAACUCGGGGCUUAACUCCGGGCCUGCAGUGGGUACGGGCUGACUAGAGUGCGGUAGGGGAGACUGGAAUUCCUGGUGUAGCGGUGAAAUGCGCAGAUAUCAGGAGGAACACCGGUGGCGAAGGCGGGUCUCUGGGCCGUAACUGACGCUGAGGAGCGAAAGCGUGGGGAUCAAACAGG
rnacentral:rRNA from 1 species